rnacentral:sRNA from 1 species
UACGCAUGGUUUUGGGACAAAUCAACGUCGAACGCCUGCAACUCGAGCAGCACAAAGCCUGGAUGCUCAGAGGAUGGAUUUACGUAUAUUAUGAAUUACUCUAUCAGGCAUUUUGACAAAAUGUCAUGACUGACACCUCGUUUCACAGUUUCAGUCCUCAUGCAUUAUUACCCUGCGGGCCAUGCAUAUCGCCAUCAUGACAUGACUAAUAAGCGCAGGGGGUGAGUAGUAUGGUGCCAAACCUUACGCACAAGUCAAGCACACCGCUGGAAAGAAUAGAACACGAACCAUGUAGUUACCUUGAUUGUGAUGCUUACUACUCCGGCGACGAUUUAAACAAGCAAGUUCUGGUUCAGGCCAAGUACAGAGGAGGGGUUAAUGCAAUGAACGCUGG